GUUAUACAAUAAAUGGAAUUUAAUAUUUUUGGUUAAAAUGAAGUUAAAAUUAUUUUGAAAUUAAUGUUUUUAUUUUUAGGUGAAAUUUAAAUAAUAAUUAAUUUUUAUUUGAUUCUUUUAAAAAUAAAAUUAAAACUAGGAUUAGAUACCCUAUUAUUUUAUUUGUAAAAUGUAUACCAGGGUAAUAAUAGUUAUGUUCUUUAAACCUAAAGAAUUUGGCGGUAAUUUAGUCUAUUCAGAGGAAUUUGUCCCUUAAUCGAUAAUCCUCGUUUUAUCUUACUUAUUUUUGUAUAUCAGUAUGUAUACCGCCGUUAUAAGUUUAUUUUAUUAGAAUAUUAAUUUACUUUAAAUAUAAUUUUAUUUUAUUUCAGG
rnacentral:rRNA from 1 species